rnacentral:misc_RNA from 1 species
GUGGGAUUACACGGGGAAUGUUGUUGUUGUCGUCCUUAUGACGUUGGCACCGAGACCUUGAAGUUUCAUUUCCAAAUUUUCAUAACCCCUAUCAACAUGGGAGAUUCCACUGAUUUCAGUAAUUCCUUCAGCAGCCAGACCAGCCAAAACCAAUGACAUUCCCCCACGCAAAUCAGUUGCGUUGACCUGAGAACCGCGGAGUGGAC